GACGAACGCUGGCGGCGUGCUUAACACAUGCAAGUCGAACGCUGAAGCUCAGCUUUUGUUGGGUGGAUGAGUGGCGAACGGGUGAGUAACACGUGAGUAACCUGCCCCCUUCUUUGGGAUAACGCCCGGAAACGGGUGCUAAUACUGGAUAUUCACUGGUCUUCGCAUGGGGGUUGGUGGAAAGGGUUUUUCUGGUGGGGGAUGGGCUCGCGGCCUAUCAGCUUGUUGGUGGGGUAAUGGCCUACCAAGGCUUUGACGGGUAGCCGGCCUGAGAGGGUGACCGGUCACAUUGGGACUGAGAUACGGCCCAGACUCCUACGGGAGGCAGCAGUGGGGAAUAUUGCACAAUGGGCGCAAGCCUGAUGCAGCGACGCCGCGUGAGGGAUGGAGGCCUUCGGGUUGUGAACCUCUUUCGCUCAUGGUCAAGCCGCAACAAUGGUUGUGGUGAGGGUAGUGGGUAAAGAAGCGCCGGCUAACUACGUG
rnacentral:rRNA from 1 species